UUUAAUCAUUUCUCAUUAAAAAAAUUUUCUUUAUCUUUUUCUCUUUUACUUUCAGGUCAAGAAAAUGACGAAAGGGUGCACUACGAAGAACUAAAGGCGGUUAGUAGGGACGGAGAAAUGAAUUAUGACGUCAUCCAAUCGGCAGGCAGUAAUAGCGAUGAAAAUAUCAUUGAAGGUUAUGAAAGCCUUGAUCUACAACACAAAAAAGAAGAAAACAAGUACGAAGCAUUAGGAAAGAUUGAAGAUUACAAAGAUCCUGAUAAAACAGAAUCCGAAACGAGAAAGUCAGCAGAUGUCUAUAUUAAUGAAUUAUUCAAUUGAGUGAAAUACAUGUUGUAUAUGUAUAG